rnacentral:rRNA from 3 species
GUGACCCCAGGUCAGGCGGGAUUACCCGCUGAGUUUAA